rnacentral:lncRNA from 1 species
GUGUCAUGAUAAAUCGUGAGGGGAACCUUGGCAGACUCCAUGGCAGGCAAGGGACAAACAUGCCAGGCAGACAGAGCUUAAGUGAGAAGUUUUAUUAGGAAAGGAAAGGGGGGGAGGGGAGGAAAGAGGUGAAGAGAAGAGUGAGACAGGAAAAGUCCUGUCUGCCCCAGAGGAAUAAUAGCAGGAAAGAGAGAGGGAAAGAGAGCUUAUGUGGGGGGAGGGUGUCUUUCUUUUAAAAGGGUCCUUUGCACCUGCGUACAGACUAGGCAAUCAUGGAACCCUGGGCUGACCAGGGUACUGCCUGAGUGCAUUCUGCCAGGUGACGGGGUGGGCCAGCAUAAUGCCUGAAUUCUUACAGACACGUCUUUGCAUCAUUAAACAACCAUUCCACAGCAUUAACAAAUGUAACACAUCUUAAAUUCAUAUUCCACAGUACUUUGCCACCGCAGAAGGAAGCUUCUCUAAUCAAGGCUGAUGACAGGAGCACAAAUCUAUGGAGAGAACAAUAAAUAUGAAAACAGGACAAUUUAGCAUGACAAUCCUAGUAGAUUCCCCUCUAGAACUUAUGCACCCGCUCCACCCCCAGCCACAGGCUUCUGACCAGGUUGAUAGCAGGCAUGGAUCCCCUCUUGGGUAGCAGGCCUCGUGGUAAAUCAGAGAGCAGCUGGUUACCCCAUGAUAGCCAUGCCACUAUUGCACCAGUGAGCACAUCUUGCCUGGAGGAUCAGUACUGUAGCAUGCAGGUUUCAAACAAACAUGUUUGAAACAAACUAGGACAGGAACACCCAAUGGCCAUUACAAUGAUCAUGUCUGUAACUGGUCACAUGGCCUUACUUGGUAUUUAUAGCUUAUCUUCCUCUAGCACCCCAUCUGCAUCUCCUCCAUUCUCAGAAGUGCCUCAGCAGGUUGUGUUGUUCCUUUCUUCAUUCCUAAAGGAUCUGAGCCAUUUACCCUCCUGCUUGGGCUGGGUUGUUAUCGUUUCCCAUUGACCUGAAUCACAGGGCAUGGCAACACUAAGAGUACACCCCAGAGGAUCUCUUGCACUCCAGAUAUGCAGCCCUUUAUUUCCAUUGUGGAAAAGCAGUCCAGUUUCUCCCCAUAGUCUAGAUCAAUAGCUCUUCCCAGUACCGUGGAUCCUAUCUUAGCCGCUUUACUCAAAGACAUCAGGAUCCCAAAGUAUCCAGAAAGACCUACCUUCAAUUUACCUUUUUUUUUUUCUUUUUUCUUUUUU